rnacentral:rRNA from 1 species
CCGCGUGGGCCGGCAACCGACCUAACACAUGACAAGUCGAACGGAGUAUUACUUAGCUUGCUUGUAAUCUUAGUGGCGGACGGGUGAGUAACACGUGAGCAACCUGCCUCUGAGAGAGGGAUAGCUUCUGGAAACGGAUGGUAAUACCUCAUAACAUACAUUGACCGCAUGAUCGAUGUAUCAAAGAUUUAUCACUCAGAGAUGGGCUCGCGUCUGAUUAGCUAGUUGGUGAGGUAACGGCCCACCAAGGCGACGAUCAGUAGCCGGACUGAGAGGUUGAACGGCCACAUUGGGACUGAGACACGGCCCAGACUCCUACGGGAGGCAGCAGUGAGGGAUAUUGCACAAUGGAGGAAACUCUUGAUGCAGCGAUGCCGCGUGGAGGAAGAAGGUUUUCGGAUUGUAAACUCCUGUUUCGAGGGACGAUAAUGACGGUACCUCGGGAGGAAGCUCCGGCUAACUACGUGCCAGCAGCGGC